CUCUCUCUCUGUGGUAACCUUUUCAGCUUUUUACUUCCACUUCCUCCCGUGCUGUGGCCCAGAUAUGUUUUCUCCAGGUUAAACUUUCGCAGGUGUUUCCUCUCCAGAUGAAGGUGUGGACUCUGCUAUGAGUCAGUGUGAGGACAGAGAGGAGGGAGUCCCUCCCUCUAAAACCACUCUGUGUGGGGAACAUGACAGCCAGACCAAAGCUCAGAGCCCAGAAAAGCAGCACAGACCUGGACACGGACCUGG